rnacentral:rRNA from 1 species
GCAUAUCAAUAAGCGGAGGAAAAGAAACCAACAGGGAUUGCCUCAGUAGCGGCGAGUGAAGCGGCAAAAGCUCCAUUUUGAAAGCUCUUCGGAGCGUUGUAGAUUGGUGGGAAGCUAACGGCUGGUGGGAGACCAAGUCCCUUGGAACAGGGCGCCACUGAGGGUGAGAGCCCCGUGGGACCGUUUGCCUACGCUCUGAGGCCCUUCUGACGAGUCGAGUUGUUUGGGAAUGCAGCUCUAAGCGGGUGGUAAAUUCCAUCUAAGGCUAAAUACUGGCGAGAGACCGAUAGCGAACAAGUACUGUGAAGGAAAGAUGAAAAGCACUUUGAAAAGAGAGUGAAACAGCACGUGAAAUUGUUGAAAGGGAAGGGUAUUGCGCCCGACAUGGAGCGUGCGCACCGCUGCCCCUCGUGGGCGGCGCUCUGGGCGUGCUCUGGGCCAGCAUCGGUUUUUGCCGCGGGAGAAGGGCGGCGGGCAUGUAGCUCUUCGGAGUGUUAUAGCCUGCCGCCGGCGCCGCGAGCGGGGACCGAGGACUGCGACUUUUGUCUCGGAUGCUGGCACAACGGCGCAACACCGCCCGUCUUGAAACACGGACC